GGAAAGGCCAUGGUGUAUCAUGAGAAUUUACUUCUUCACUGUGGAUGGCAGAUACUGUCAACAGGUGAAUGUUUGGAGUAUGGCAAUAAUUCAAGGAACAUAAAUUGAUGAAGAUAAAGGGUCACAAAGAAGUUGAGGAAUCCUUGUGUUUGGCCGGAUACCCAGCACCUGCGGAACACAUAUCUACAGCAAAUAUUGUGCUUUGUUUAACUUCUACCUGAAAUAAAGCUGAUGCUAUGGAACUUCAGUUUGGGAAGAUAAGAUUUGGUUUGUUUCACUUGCUACAGUGGCACUUGGGAUGCACUAGCACAAAGCGGUUGUUGCUGAGCUAUUCAAUACAUCUUUUCUCUCCACUUCCACUGAAGGCUUUUUAUUUUGGCUAGUUGUAAACAAUGAUGGUUACUUGGCAUGGAGUUGUGGUUUUUGGUGCUGGGCUGGCUUGUAG
rnacentral:lncRNA from 1 species